UUACAGAGAAGUUAAGUAACUUGCCCAAGCUCACACGAAUGGGCAGGAGUGGCCCAGAAUUCAAAGUGUGACAGGCACAAAGGAUUUAGUGCCACUCGAUCCUGCCUCUUUUAUUUACUUACUCUGUGGACAGUGUGUGCCACGCCUAUGGGUUCUCCAGCGCCUGGCUUACACUCGAGGGCCUCCCAGGAAUCUGAGUCUGCCAGCAGAGAGUCACAGGCUAUUUGGGGAAGGGAGGUGUCCAAGGGCUUGAAACAUGCAAAGAAAUCUUCCUGAAACAGCAAGGUUUCCGAGCUGACUCGCUCCCUGGCCCAUGGCAAGGAUCAGGUAAUGUCAAGGAAGGCUAUGCUGUCCAAUGCCACAUGGGGCUACUGAAAUUUAAAUUAAUUAAAAUUAAAUUAAAUAUUCAGUUAUUUAAUUGCAUUAGUUACAUUUCAAGUGCUCAAUAUCACAUGUGACUAGUGGCUACUGUGCUGGACAGCGCAACUACAGGACAUUCUCAUCUUUCCAGAAUAUUCUACUUGACAGUGUUACUGUAAGGCAAACCACUUAGCAGAGGCCGCCUCACUGGUCCCAGACAGUGGUGAGCUGCAGCCAUGAUCCUGAGGGCCCCUGGUGAGGCUGGAGUGAGGAUACAGAGUCACAAUAAAGCUGCACAAACAGCACAGGUAUGGUCAUCAGAGUGAACACUUAAUGACACUUUCAAUAAACACCUUUCUUAAAUGUAGCACUUGGUUCAGUGUCACUCCAAUAAGCAUUAGAAACCCUAGUUCUGUGCAAGUCACAAUGUCUGCCCCCUUGGAGUUCUUAACCUCUAAGUAGAGGCAGGAAAUAAAUAAUAAUAAGCUGUGAUAAGCUGAAAAGUAGAUAUUUGCCAAGAGACAAUAAAUUACUUGGAGAGGGGGAUCAGGGAAGGUUCCCGAAGACCGGGAUAGGUAAGCCAAAUUUUGAAGGGUAGCUAGAAGUUUGCAAAUAGAUGAGGGGGUAGGAGAAGGUUCAAAAAAGAAGAAACUGCAAAACAGUUUGGAGAAUGCAGGACGUUUGGCGUUAGAGGAUUGUGAAGCGGAGGAGGGUU